rnacentral:rRNA from 1 species
UACAGAGGUCUCAAGCGUUGUUCGGAUUCAUUGGGCGUAAAGGGUGCGUAGGCGGGCUUUUAAGCCAGACGUGAAAUCCCCGGGCUUAACCUGGGAAUGGCGUUUGGGACUGGGAGUCUGGAGUGCGGCAGAGGAGACUGGAAUUCCUGGUGUAGCAGUGAAAUGCGUAGAUAUCAGGAGGAACACCGAUGGCGAAGGCAGGUCUCUGGGCUGACACUGACGCUCAUGCACGAAAGCGUGGGGAGCAAACAGG